ACUUUGGGAUGGUUAUGGAAUAUCAAACCCAGUCCUGGAAGGCUGGAAGUAUCAAAAUUUGAAAGAAACAAACGCACACCUCCGCUGACCAAAGUGCAAUAUUGGCAUAGUGCGCACCCACACAGAAAGGCGCAUCAUAGCACCCACUUCAUGAAAAUUGUGAAAGUCUACUCAAAAAAAAAAAAAAAACUCCAAUGGUGCAUACAUAACGAACAUGGCCAGAAAAGAAAACAAAGACGAGAAACGAUUCAACAGAUGUAAAAGAGCUUCACUUUCACAUCUUAAGUUAGUUUUGACUCUCUAGUUUGCACCAAACCAGCUCCUUAAAUUCUUCUCUCUUCUCUGUGAUUAUCUCUGUGAAGGGACUUUCCCUGUAUCUCUCAAAAUCCCAAAAGGAAAUCCAUUUUAUUUUAUUCCCCGACUUCUCUCAUUUUCUCGCCUUUUGUCCAUUUCUUUUGUGACCCUUGACGGGUUUUGAGGUCUUGGCUUCGAUGGGUUCGAGAUCAACAUCUGCAAUGAAGCCUUUUGAAAACAAUGAAAAUGACCUGGAAACUGGUAAGUUAGACAAAGACAGAGAUAAGACAGCACGAGUUCACAGGGUGCUUAAGAUACAUAAUCAAGCCUUAUUGUCUGGCCUCGCAUAUUGCAUUUCGUCAUGCAGCAUGAUUCUGAUCAACAAGCUUGUGCUUUCCAGCUAUGAUUUUAAUGCUGGGAUAUCUUUGAUGGUUUACCAGAAUCUUAUUUCAGUGGUUAUUGUGUCAAUAUUGAGUUUUCUUGGCAUAAUAUCAACAGAGCCACUAACAUGGAGAUUGGUUAAAGUUUGGCUACCUGUGAAUGUUAUUUUUGUUGGAAUGCUCAUUACAAGCAUGUUUAGUUUGAAAUACAUUAAUGUCGCUAUGGUCACUGUCCUGAAAAAUGUUACCAAUGUGAUAACUGCUCUUGGUGAAAUGUAUCUAUUCAGCACGCAUCAUGACAGCAGAGUUUGGGCUUCUCUGUUCCUAAUGAUAAUUUCGGCCAUUUCUGGAGGGGUUACUGAUCUAUCUUUUCAUGCUGUUGGCUAUGCAUGGCAGAUUGCUAAUUGUUUCUUAACUGCAUCCUAUUCUCUGACCCUGCGUAGGGUCAUGGAUACUGCAAAGCAAGUUACCAAAUCUGGAAAUUUGAAUGAGUUUUCAAUGGUCUUGCUCAAUAACACCCUAUCAUUGCCUUUAGGGAUUCUUCUAAUAUUUGUUUUCAAUGAGGUGGAUUAUCUCUCCAGAACUUGGCAGGCCACUAUUGAGUUUGCCAACCUUCUGGUUUGUAAUGACAAUAAGUGGAGUUUUGGGACUAGCAAUCAGCUUCACUUCCAUGUGGUUUCUUCAUCAAACUGGUGCUACAACGUACAGCCUUGUGGGGUCAUUGAAUAAGAUCCCUUUGUCAAUUGCUGGCAUCCUUCUUUUCAAAGUUCCAACCAGCUUGGAAAACUCCACAAGUAUACUCUUCGGUCUCUUGGCUGGAGUAUUCUUCGCUAGGGCGAAAAUGCGGACAAGAUCUCAAAGCUGAAAAGUAGCAAAAGGAAUGUAGCUUUAGAUGAUAACCUAAUUUUGCACUCUUUUCAGUAAAUUGCAUCCGAGAGCUUGACCAUCCCAUGAAGUCAUAACGGAUAGUUAGUUGAGCAGUUUUUCUUCUUAAAAUGGAGACAAAAGUAGGGAAUUGGAAAAACAAGCUCUUUGCCAUAUUUUAAGUGCUGGUCUGUUCUCUUGAUAUAUAUUUUCCCCCUUGUUACAUGAGAGAGAGAGAGAGAGAGAGAGAGAGAGAGAGAGAGAGAGAGAGAGAGAGAGAGAGAGAGAGAGAGAGAGAGAGAUUGUAUUGGAACAUGGGAUGAAUUGGGUGCCGAGUUUGUUGUAUUAUUGAGGGAAGAUGAGAGCACUAGUUCUUUUCCAGAUAUAAACUGUAUCAUCAUCUAACUGAUUCUUAUCUUACCUUGUACCAUAUCAUUGUUUGUGCUAUAAAUUACCACAUUGAAGUGUAAA